rnacentral:pre_miRNA from 1 species
CCUCAUCACCGGACCCGAGGGCCAGGACCGCGUCACCGGCUUCGAGCGCUACCUGUUCGGCGAUGCCACCGUCGUCACCGGUGACGCGGUCCUGGCCCUCGGGUCCGGUGAUGAGG